AUGACCGAACUUAAUGGGAUCUUUUCUAUAGUACGUGUCCCAUCUUUGAAACCAAACAAAGACAACACCAUCAACUGUGAUGAUGAUGUGUAGCGUUUAUCUCUAAGCGCGAAGCACAUCGCCGACCCUGUCUCUCAUGGCAACUGGUUAGUGACGAUUGAUGACCGUUCCUCUCCCCAUGGUGGGUAGUUUGAGGAGGUGAUCGUAUUCAGAGCGGU